UGACUGCCCUAUGGGUUGUAAACUGCUUUUACAGAGGGAAGAAACCACUCCCACGUGUGGGAGUUUGACGGGUACUCAUGCGAAAUAAGGAUCCGGCUUAACUUCCGUGCCAGCAGACCGCGGUAAAUACGGAGGAAUCCAAGCGUUAUUCACGGAAUCAUUGGAGUUUAAAGGGUCCGUAGGCGGGCAGUUAAGUCCAGUGGUGAAAAGUCUUCCGCUUCAACGGAGAGAACUGCCCAUUGAAACUGAUUGUCUUGAGUUAUUAAUGAAAGUGGAUUAGAAUGAGUAGUGUAGCGGUGAAAUGCAUAGAUAUUACUCAGAAAUACCGAUUGCGAAGGCAGAUCACUAAUAAUAUACUGACGCUGAUGGACGAAAGCGUAGGUAGCGAACAGGAUUAGAUACCCUGGUAGUCUACGCCGUAAACGAUGGUUACUAGCUGUUCGGCCCGAUUAAGGGCUUGAGUGGUUAAGCGAAAGUGAUAAGUAACCCACCUGGGGAGUACGUUCGCAAGAAUGAAACUCAAAGGAAUUGACGGGGGCCCGCACAAGCGGUGGAGCAUGUGGUUUAAUUCGAUGAUACGCGAGGAACCUUACCAGGGCUUAAAUGUAGUCUGACAGGGGUGGAAACACCUUUUUCUUCGGACAGAUUACAAGGUGCUGCAUGGUUGUCGUCAGCUCGUGCCGUGAGGUGUCAGGUUAAGUCCUAUAACGAGCGCAACCCCUGUGGUUAGUUGCCAGCGAGUAAUGUCGGGAACUCUAGCCAGACUGCCGGUGCAAACCGCGAGGAAGGUGGGGAUGACGUCAAAUCAUCACGGCCCUUACGUCCUGGGCCACACACGUGCUACAAUGGUAGGGACAGAGAGCAGCCACUUCGCGAGAAGGAGCGAAUCUAUAAACCCUAUCACAGUUCGGAUCGCAGUCUGCAACUCGACUGCGUGAAGCUGGAAUCGCUAGUAAUCGGAUAUCAGCCAUGAUCCGGUGAAUACGUUCCCGGGCCUUGUACACACCGCCCGUCAAGCCAUGGAAGCCGGGGGUACCUGAAGUCGGUCACCGCAAGGAGCCGCCUAGGGUAAAACUGGUAACUGGGGCUAAGUCGUAACAAGGUAGCCGU
rnacentral:rRNA from 1 species